rnacentral:tRNA from 3 species
GCGGCUAUGGUUUAGUGGUAAAACGAGUCCUUCCCAAGGAUUAGUCGAGGGUCCGAUUCCCUCUAGCCGCUCCA